rnacentral:rRNA from 1 species
CCUACGGGUGGCAGCAGUAGGGAAUCUUUGACAAUGGGCGAAAGCCUGAUGGAGCAACGCCGCGUGCAGGAUGAAGGCCUUCGGGUUGUAAACUGCUUUUAUAAGCGAGAAAUAUGAUGGUAACUUAUGAAUAAGGAUCGGCUAACUACGUGCCAGCAGCCGCGGUCAUACGUAGGAUCCGAGCAUUAUCCGGAGUGACUGGGUGUAAAGAGUUGCGUAGGUGGCAUAAUAAGUAGCUAGUGAAAUCUGGUGGCUCAACCAUUCAGACUAUUAGCUAAACUGUUAAGCUCGAGACCGUUAGGGGUAAGUGGAAUUUCUAGUGUAGGGGUGAAAUGCGUAGAUAUUAGGAGGAACCCCAAUAGCGUAGGCAGGUUGCUGGGACGGUUCUGACACUAAGGCACGAAAGCGUAGGGAGCAAACGGGAUUAGAUACCUGGGUAGUC